CCCAAAACACACUUCACUGGCACGGACACCCUGUCCAACAUGCCCGUCUCAGAUGAUAAUUUGCAGAGUGAGCGCUCGAAGGCCAGGAUUGACAAAUUAAAAGAACACCACAAUAGGUGUGAAACUCGGUAUGAAUCUACGGCAGAGAAGCGA